rnacentral:rRNA from 1 species
GAUCCUGGCUCAGGAUGAACGCUUGCGGCGUGCUUAACACAUGCAAGUCGAACGGGGAUGUUUCGCUGAUGCGAUUUCGGUCAAAUCUUGAAGCAUUUUAGUGGCGGACGGGUGAGUAACGCGUGGGUAACCUGCCCUGUACAGGGGGACAACAGUUGGAAACGACUGCUAAUACCGCAUAAGCGCACAGCUUCGCAUGAAGCAGUGUGAAAAACUCCGUGUGGUACAGGAUCGGACCCG